rnacentral:rRNA from 1 species
CUUUCAGCGACGGAUAUCUC